rnacentral:rRNA from 1 species
UACGAGUGGUGCAAGCGUUAUUCGGAUUUAUUGGGCGUAAAGGGCGCGUAGGUGGUAUGUUAAGUCAGCUGUAAAAUUCUCCGGCCUAACUGGAGGUCUGCGGUAGAUACUGAUGUACUUGAGGAUGGAAGAGAGAAGUGGAAUUCUUGGAGUAGCGGUAAAAUGCGUAGAUAUCAAGAGGAACACCAAUGGCGAAGGCAGCUUCUUGGUCCACUCCUGACACUGAGGCGCGAAAGCGUGGGGAGCAAAC